UACGAAGGGGGCUAGCGUUGCUCGGAUUGACUGGGCGUAAAGGGCGCGUAGGCGGUUCGUACAGUCAGACGUGAAAUUCCUGGGCUCAACCUGGGGCUGCGUUUGAUACGUGCGGACUUGAGUGCGGAAGAGGGUCGUGGAAUUCCCAGUGUAGAGGUGAAAUUCGUAGAUAUUGGGAAGAACACCGGUGGCGAAGGCGGCGACCUGGUCCGAUACUGACGCUGAGGCGCGAAAGCGUGGGAGCAAACAGG
rnacentral:rRNA from 1 species